rnacentral:rRNA from 1 species
UACGUAGGGUGCAAGCGUUGUUCGGAUUCAUUGGGCGUAAAGGGUGUGUAGGUGGCGCCGUAAGUCGGGUGUGAAAUUUCGGAGCUUAACUCCGAAACUGCAUUCGAUACUGCGGUGCUUGAGGACUGGAGAGGAGACUGGAAUUCAUGGUGUAGCAGUGAAAUGCGUAGAGAUCAUGAGGAAGACCAGUGGCGAAGGCGGGUCUCUGGACAGUUCCUGACACUGAGACACGAAGGCCAGGGGAGCAAACGGG